rnacentral:rRNA from 1 species
AGAACGAACGCUGGCGGCAUGCCUAACACAUGCAAGUCGAACGAGACCUUCGGGUCUAGUGGCGCACGGGUGCGUAACGCGUGGGAAUCUGCCCUUAGGUUCGGAAUAACAGUUAGAAAUGACUGCUAAUACCGGAUAAUGACGUAAGUCCAAAGAUUUAUCGCCCAGGGAUGAGCCCGCGUAGGAUUAGCUUGUUGGUGAGGUAAGAGCUCACCAAGGCGACGAUCCUUAGCUGGUCUGAGAGGAUGAUCAGCCACACUGGGACUGAGACACGGCCCAGACUCCUACGGGAGGCAGCAGUGGGGAAUAUUGGACAAUGGGCGAAAGCCUGAUCCAGCAAUGCCGCGUGAGUGAUGAAGGCCUUAGGGUUGUAAAGCUCUUUUACCCGGGAAGAUAAUGACUGUACCGGGAGAAUAAGCCCCGGCUAACUCCGUGCCAGCAGCCGC